rnacentral:misc_RNA from 1 species
AGAAGGAGGCGGCCGGGACG